rnacentral:rRNA from 1 species
CGUGGGUAACCUGCCCAAGAGAUCGGGAUAACACCUGGAAACAGAUGCUAAUACCGGAUAACAACAGAUGAUGCCUAACAACUGUUUAAAAGAUGGUUCUGCUAUCACUCUUGGAUGGACCUGCGGUGCAUUAGCUAGUUGGUAGGGUAACGGCCUACCAAGGCGAUGAUGCAUAGCCGAGUUGAGAGACUGAUCGGCCACAUUGGGACUGAGACACGGCCCAAACUCCUACGGGAGGCAGCAGCC